GUUUUUCUCCCAAGCUCUCCUGGCUGCCUGCUGCCUCGGGGAAUUUACCAUCUGAGGAGGCCCCAAGCUGACACAGCAAAAGAUUCAUGAUGUGUGGAUUGGGCCUGAUGAGGCCACUGGGCUUUCGUGGAAAACACUUUGACCUGCUGAGCGAUCUUACAACCCCUUUUGCUGUUUUGGUGGUUAAAACAGUCCCAUCCCCAUGUCACAUCUUCAGUGCUUUCUUCACAGCUCUUGAGUUCCAGAGGGGAGAGAAUGAUCAUGCAAGAAUGAGGCCAGUCUAUCACGCUACAUUAUCAGGAAGCGGGAUCACCUCAAUGAUGCACUUCAUUUCAGCAAGGUUCUACCACAUAAAUGUGCCAUAGCCUUUCUGUAAACCAAAAAUGCUUAUAGAACAAGUAUGUUUAAAACGUAUUUUUGUGUGACUCUGCUAUGUAUUUGUAUUUUAAGCUAAGUGAUGUUAGGUUGUGGACAUGAAUCAAGAGGCUGAGGGGCAUAUUUAACACACCAAAAUGGUUCUCCCAGGGGCUGGAUGAGCUUCCCCUCCCCCAGAAACUCUUUCCUAUAUAAUCCAGACAUUUUGCAUCCCCUCUGUCCCUCCCUCUCUCUC
rnacentral:sRNA from 1 species